GAUGAACGCUAGCGGCAGGCCCAACACAUGCAAGUCGAGGGGUAACUAGAGUGAUAGCAAUAUUACUUUGGCUAGACCGGCGCACGGGUGCGUAACACGUAUGCAACCUACCUUAUACUGGGGAAUAACUUCGAGAAAUCGGCGCUAAUACCCCAUAACAUUGCGAAGAGGCAUCUCUUUGCAAUUAAAGCUCCGGCGGUAUAAGAUGGGCAUGCGUCCAAUUAGCUAGUUGGUGAGGUAACGGCUCACCAAGGCUACGAUUGGUAGGGGUUCUGAGAGGAUGAUCCCCCACACUGGUACUGGGACACGGACCAGACUCCUACGGGAGGCAGCAGUGAGGAAUAUUGCGCAAUGGACGAAAGUCUGACGCAGCCAUGCCGCGUGCAGGAUGACGGCCCUAUGGGUUGUAAACUGCUUUUGUACGGGAAUAAACCCUUCUACGUGUAGGAGGCUGAAGGUACCGUAAGAAUAAGCACCGGCUAACUCCGUGCCAGCCGCCGUAACAC
rnacentral:rRNA from 1 species